rnacentral:lncRNA from 1 species
UCAUGUCAAUAUCCUGUGUAAAUAAUCUGAAAUACAGAGGCAAUGUUUUUGAAUAGCUUUGUAUCUCAAUAUGCCUCUUCAGGAAUGUGUCUAUUCAAAGACAGUUUCUGAAAUAUUGAUUUAAAGGAGAUCCCCCGGAGAAAGAAAUAACCCACUCCAGUAUUCUUGCCUCUGGGAAAUUCCAUGGUCAGAGGAGCAUGGUGGGCUACAGUCUAUGGGAUCAUAAAAAGUCGGAUACGACUUAGUGACUAAACAACAUGUUUUGCUGUUAUACAGAAGAGAAAGAUUCAUCUUAUGGUGUUAUCAUUAAGCAUUCUAAUAUAGACAUAUCCUCAAGACAAUUCCCAUGAGCUGUGCCUGGCUUGCCUUCAUGAUACUAACAUCUAGAAGAUUUGGAAAUAUAAGUUUCAAGGUCAUGGCCGAUCCUGGAAACAGAGGAAAGAUCUACCACCCCUUGAAUCUCACCUGCUCCCUGCUCAUUGUGGGAAUGUGCUGUGUGUCUCCUUUCUUCUGUCAUAGCCAGACAGAUCUGCUGGCUCUUAACCAAGCUGAUCCUCAGUGCUGGGAAUCUUCUUCAGUGCUCCUCCUGGAAAUGUGGAAGCCUCGAAUCUCCAACACUGUUUCAGGUUUCUGGGAUUUUAU